rnacentral:rRNA from 1 species
AUGGCCGCUCCGUCGCCGCCCACACCAGGCACGGGCAGGCUCCCGACGAUGGCGGACAUCAUGGCCGCGUCACGCGCGCAGGGCCUACGCGUGCGCUUAAGCACGGUUGGCCCUCUCUUCCGCGUCACGGCAACCCGCGUCGGCGGCGACGGCGACGUGGAGCUGGGCCGCGCCGAGGGCGCUGUCCGGCCCUGGCCCGGGGGCUCCGUGCUGCACCUCGACUCCAUGCGGAUGUCGCGCGCCACGCUCGAGGUCCCUGACCGGCCGCUCUUCGGCCUCGGCAUCUUCCUAGGCGCCGUCACCGUGCGCCAUGGCUUCGACGCUGGCUGCGUGCGCGCCGAUCUGCUAGCCAUCAACGAUACGCCGCUCUAUCACAACAAGCUUGUUAAGUUCUAUACGAGGAUGGGUUUCAAAGCAGUGCAUGAGGUAGAUGGAUCAUCAAUGAUGGAUCUUGCUCAUAUGUUAGUGUGGGGAGGUAAAGGAACAAGAAUGGAUGCUGAUAUAGAACAGCUCCUCAUGAAGUGGAGCAGAAGAUUCGGAUCUCAAGACUGA